GAUGACCAGCCAGCCUCCCCAGCUCGAAGAGGGCACUUCAAUGACUGGAAGGAUAGAUGGAGGACACAAAGGCAGGUGCAUUAAGACAAACAACGAGCUCAGACUACUGCUGGUGUUUGGAUAACUAAGAAAUGGCACAACAAUAGAACCAUAACUCAGUGAAAAAGAAGGUUAGUGAGCAAGGCCAUGAGCCAAAAGGAACAUAUCUGGUACACUCUGAAGGCUUGGUACAAGAGACCUGACUUUUUUGGCCUGGAAAGAUCCUGCCACCAGGGCUGGAGAACAAUAUGGAAAAGGGCCUGGAAAUAAGAAGGAACACAAUGUCCUGGAGGAACUGAAAUCAUUUCAGUAUGACUGCGGCAUAGAGUACAAGGGAGGGAGUGCUAAGAGAAGACAUCAGGGGUACCAAGCAAGGCCAGGUCGGGAUGGACUUUCAAAACCAGUACAGGAGGCCUGCGGGUGAUGGGAAGCUGCUACAGUAUUUUAAGCCUGGCAAUAUCAUGAUCAUCUUGGAGUCUGGGGGCAAUCACUGUAAUAGAGCACACAAGCAUGGCUGUGAGCCCCACAAACUAAAGCACCCCACCCCCAGCAGCUACCAGAAACCCGUGCUAUUCGGAAAGGUCGGCUGCUCACCAGACCUCCACGCUGCAUAACUAUGAAGCAUCCUUCACAUGAUAGUCUUGUGGCCACAAUGUACCCUUCUGUCUCAAAAAUAAAUUUUUCAGUGGAAU